UUGGGACCACAUAGACACACAACUUCCACAUCUUGUUUCAAGGAAACCUUUUGGAGUUAAAAGAUCAUAACCAGGAAGAUGCAGCACUGAUGUCACUGAUGACUCAAAAGUGCACAUAUUUAUUCUUCUUUUGAAAAAAAAGUGAGAAAGUAGAGACGGGGUUUCACCGUGUUAGCCAGGAUGUUCUCGAUCUCCUGACCUCGUGAUCCGCCCACCUCGGCCUCCCAAAGUGCUGGGAUUACAGGCGUGAGCCACCACGCCUGGCCAACACCUGUUUUCUUACAGGUCAUUUUGAAAGCUGUGUGGAAAAUGGGUUUCAGAAUAAAGACGAAUGAAAGCACAAAGAGGACCCGAAACAGGAUAUUGAAUUUCAAGACAAAAUGAAGCUAAGGUGCCACAAUAAAAGCUUCAGAAGGUCCCAUUUGAGCUCUCCCUCAUCUUCAAUUCCCCUGCAGAGGAUGCUACAGAAGCAAUAGAAGCAACAGAGGUGUUGAAUCCCUCUUCUACCAGCUAUUGAAAAGACAGAAAGAGAGAAUGCAGCCAAAGACCACCAAAGAACAUGCUCUUCCAUGAGACCAGAUUCAAGCACAUGGCACAGGAGAAAAAGGACAUGAUGGAAACUUCUCACUGGGCCUGGUGAGACUGGCAGAGGCAGGGGCUCAACAACCUGUUCUUCAAGCUGUCUCAGUAAUAGGCUUCCUGCUUCCUACUUCCUGUCUUUUUGGAGAUCUCUUUGAUCCUGAUUAUUCCUCAGCCUCAUCUUCUGGCCUUUUGUAAAAUGUGUGAGCCCUUCAAUAUGCUUUAAAUAAAUUGACUUGUACUUGCCAA